AUUGAACGCUGGCGGCAGGCCUAACACAUGCAAGUCGAGCGAGCGGCGGACGGGUGAGUAAUGUCUGGGAAACUGCCUGAUGGAGGGGGAUAACUACUGGAAACGGUAGCUAAUACCGCAUACCAUCAGAUGUGCCCAGAUGGGAUUAGCUAGUAGGUGGGGUAACGGCUCACAUGGGCGACGAUCCCUAGCUGGUCUGAGAGGAUGACCAGCAACACUGGAACUGGAACACGUCCCAGACUCCUACGGUAGGCAGCAGUGGGAAAGAUUGCACAAUGGGGGCAAGCCUGAUGCGGCCAGGCCGCGUGUGUGAAGAGGGCCUUCGGGUUGUAAAGCACUUUCAGCGGGGAGGCGUUACCCGCAGAAGAAGCAACGGCUAACUCCGUGCCAGCAGCCGCGGUAAUAC
rnacentral:rRNA from 1 species